GACGAACGCUGGCGGCGUGCUUAACACAUGCAAGUCGAACGGAAAGGCCCUGCUUUUGUGGGGUGCUCGUGUGGCGAACGGGUGUGUAACACGUGUGUAACCCGCCCUUGUCUUUGGGAUAACUUCAGGAAACUGGGGCUAAUACCGGAUAGGAGCUUCUGCCGCAUGGUGGGGGUUGGAAAGUUUCGGCGGUUGGGGAUGGACUCGCGGCUUAUCAGCUUGUUGGUGGGGUAGUGGCUUACCAAGGCUUUGACGGGUAGCCGGCCUGAGAGGGUGACCGGCCACACUGGGACUGAGAUACGGCCCAGACUCCUACGGGAGGCAGCAGUGGGGAAUAUUGCACAAUGGGCGAAAGCCUGAUGCAGCAACGCCGCGUGCGGGAUGACGGCCUUCGGGUUGUAAACCGCUUUCAGCUGUGACGAAGCGAGAGUGACGGUAAUGGGUAAAGAAGCACCGGCUAACUACGUG
rnacentral:rRNA from 1 species